CUGAUGACGGGCAGUAGGCGUGGGUAAUCGGUGGGGUGCGAGCGUUGUCGGGAUGGAUUGGGCGUAAAGAGCUCGUUGGUGGUUAGGGAAGGUGGGUGGGGAAUCUCCAGGCUCAACCUGGAGGCGCCACCCGAUACUGUCGUGACUGGAGUCCGGUAGAGGAGUGUGGAAUUCCCGGUGUAGCGGUGAAAUGCGCAGAUAUCGGGAGGAACACCCGUAGCGAAGGCGGCACUCUGGGCCGGUACUGACGCUGAGGAGCGAAAGCGUGGGGAGCAAACAGGAUUAGAUACCCGUGUAGUC
rnacentral:rRNA from 1 species